rnacentral:rRNA from 1 species
GACGAACGCUGGCGGCGUGCUUAACACAUGCAAGUCGAACGGAGAGGCCCUGCUUGCAGGGUACUCGAGUGGCGAACGGGUGAGUAACACGUGGGUGAUCUGCCCUGCACUUCGGGAUAAGCCUGGGCAACUGGGUCUAAUACCGGAUAUGACCUUCCAUGUAGUGUGGGGGGUGGAAAGAUUUAUCGGUGUGGGAUGAGCCCGCGGCCUAUGAGCUUGUUGGUGGGGUAAUGGCCUACCAAGGCGUCGACGGAUAGCCGGCCUGAGAGGGUGGACGGCCACAUUGGGACUGAGAUACGGCCCAGACGCCUACGGGAGGCAGCAGUGGGGAAUAUUGCACAAUGGGCGGAAGCCUGAUGCAGCGACGCCGCGUGGGGGAUGACGGCCUUCGGGUUGUAAACCUCUUUCGACAGGGACGAAGCUUCGGUGACGGUACCUGUAUAAGAAGCACCGGCUAACUACGUG